rnacentral:rRNA from 1 species
AUUGAACGCUGGCGGAAUGCUUUACACAUGCAAGUCGAACGGCAGCACGGGGGCAGCCCUGGUGGCGAGUGGCGAACGGGUGAGUAAUACAUCGGAACGUGCCCGGUCGUGGGGGAUAACGUAGCGAAAGUUACGCUAAUACCGCAUACGAUCUGAGGAUGAAAGCGGGGGACCUUCGGGCCUCGCGCGAUCGGAGCGGCCGAUGUCAGAUUAGGGAGUUGGUGGGGUAAAGGCCUACCAAGCCGACGAUCUGUAGCUGGUCUGAGAGGACGACCAGCCACACUGGGACUGAGACACGGCCCAGACUCCUACGGGAGGCAGCAGUGGGGAAUUUUGGACAAUGGGCGCAAGCCUGAUCCAGCCAUUCCGCGUGCAGGACGAAGGCCUUCGGGUUGUAAACUGCUUUUGUACGGAACGAAAAGGCUCUGGCUAAUACCUGGGGCUCAUGACGGUACCGUAAGAAUAAGCACCGGCUAACUACGUG